UACGUAGGGCGCGAGCGUUAUCCGGAAUUAAGUUGGGCGUAAAGAGCUCGUAGGCGGUUUGUCACGUCGUGCCUGUGAAAACUGGAGGCUCAACCUCCAGCCUGCAGUGGGUACGGGCAGACUAGAGUGCGGUAGGGGAGAUUGGAAUUCCUGGUGUAGCGGUGGAAUGCGCAGAUAUCAGGAGGAACACCGGUGGCGAAGGCGGGUCUCUGGGCAACAACUGACGCUGAGGAGCGAAAGCGUGGGGAGCGAACAGG
rnacentral:rRNA from 1 species